AUUGAACGCUGGCGGCAGGCCUAACACAUGCAAGUCGAGCGGAUGAAGGGAGCUUGCUCCUGGAUUCAGCGGCGGACGGGUGAGUAAUGCCUAGGAAUCUGCCUGGUAGUGGGGGAUAACGUCCGGAAACGGGCGCUAAUACCGCAUACGUCCUGAGGGAGAAAGUGGGGGAUCUUCGGACCUCACGCUAUCAGAUGAGCCUAGGUCGGAUUAGCUAGUUGGUGGGGUAAAGGCCUACCAAGGCGACGAUCCGUAACUGGUCUGAGAGGAUGAUCAGUCACACUGGAACUGAGACACGGUCCAGACUCCUACGGGAGGCAGCAGUGGGGAAUAUUGGACAAUGGGCGAAAGCCUGAUUCAGCCAUGCCGCGUGUGUGAAGAAGGUCUUCGGAUUGUAAAGCACUUUAAGUUGGGAGGAAGGGCAGUAAGUUAAUACCCUGCUGUUUUGACGUUACCAACAGAAUAAGCACCGGCUAACUUCGUG
rnacentral:rRNA from 1 species